AUCUUGGUGUCAAAGCUGCUAAGGCAUAUAGCAAAUGCCUGGAAAGCAGAGAUAGGAUAUUGAUAAUCCAUAGUGAACACAUCCUUUCCCACUUUUCCAAACUGAAGUACUACGUUCUCAUGCUCUUGCCUGCCAACUCCAUUCUCUGCAGAAGCAACCAGCUGAAAGUUCUUAACUGAAGCAACAGUCACCCGCCCAUUGAAGUUCAGACACCAACACUGGAGUUGUUCAUGCCACCUGGGUGCCUUGUUCCUUAACACUAGCAUUUCAUCCUUGUAGCCAGCCAAAGGACCAGAUUGGAAAUUCUCUGCUCGGGUGGAUUUUGAUCUGAAAAAGGGAAGUGAUGGAAAGGAAUCCAACUUGGUAUGCAGAAAUUCAGUCUGCGUAGGGGCCACUCCACCAGGUUCAAU
rnacentral:misc_RNA from 1 species